rnacentral:rRNA from 1 species
UAGGGAAUAUUGCACAAUGGAGGAAACUCUGAUGCAGCGACGCCGCGUGAGUGAUGAAGGACUUCGGUUCGUAAAGCUCUGUCGCAUGGGAAUAAGAAAGUGAAUGUACCAUGCAAGAAAGGAUCGGCUAACUUCGUGCCAGCAGCCGCGGUAAGACGAGGGAUCCUAGCGUUGUUCGGAAUCAUUGGGCGUAAAGGGGGCGUAGGUGGCUCCAUAAGUCGGGUGUGAAAGCCCAGGGCUCAACCCUGGAAGUGCACUCGAUACUGUGGAGCUUGAGUGCUGGAGAGGCUACUGGAAUUCCUGGUGUAGUGGUGAAAUACGUAGAUAUCAGGAGGAACAUCGGAGGCGAAGGCGGGUAGCUGGCCAGACACUGACACUCAGGCCCGAAAGCAUGGGGAUC